rnacentral:rRNA from 1 species
GAUGAACGCUAGCGGCAGGCUUAAUACAUGCAAGUCGUGGGGCAGCAUGAGUAGCAAUACUUGAUGGCGACCGGCAAACGGGUGAGGAACACGUACACAACCUUCCUUCAAGCGGGGAAUAGCCCAGAGAAAUUUGGAUUAAUACCCCAUAAUAUAUUUGAUAAGGCAUCUUAUUAAUAUUAAAGCUUCGGCACUUGAUGAUGGGUGUGCGGCUGAUUAGAUAGUUGGUGGGGUAACGGCCCACCAAGUCUACGAUCAGUAGCUGAUGUGAGAGCAUGAUCAGCCACACGGGCACUGAGA